rnacentral:rRNA from 1 species
AUGGUCAAACACCUGGCGAGCAGCAGUCCAGGAGCGUCUCUUGAUGAGGGUGCGUCACUGCCACCUUCGCCCACAUCGCCGCUGUCACCCACGGCAACACCGGCACCACCCUCUUCACCAUCAGCGAUCGCAACGGGCGUGGAAUUCGUCUCGCCGCCAUCGGCCUUCAGUGACAUGCUCGACGUGGCCGACGACUCGGCGCGCGAGCACCGUUUCCACACAAUGGAGAGCAUGCUGGAUGCGGGAGCCAUGGCGGAACCCGGCGAGGAGUUGCACUUCCUGGCCGUGGAGGAGCCGACCUCUUUCACUGAGGCGGAGCAGGAGUCGAGCUGGCGGCGCGCCAUGGUCGAGGAGAUGACCUCAAUCGAGGACAACCAGACAUGGCACCUCGCCGCGCUUCCACCAGGGCAUCGUGCGAUUGGCCUGAAGUGGGUCUUCAAAGUCAAGAUGGACGCGCAAGGAGAGGUGCUCAAGCACGAGGCGCUUCUGGUGGCGAAGGGCUACGUGCAGCAACACGGGAUCGACUACGACGAAGUGUUUCGCGCAGGUGGCCUGCCUCCAGUCAGUACGGGUACUGUUGGCGCUCACGGCGAACACGGGCUGGGCGAUCUACCACGUGGACGUCAGGUCCGCCUUCCUGAACAUCGAGCUCGAGGAGGAGGUGUACGUGCAGCAGCAGCCUGGGUUCGUCGUCGCCAUAGUUUUCACUUUCGAAACCAAAUUUUCUUUCGCUCACCCUCGAAAGCACCGAAAUUUCGAGCAAAUUAA